rnacentral:tRNA from 1 species
GGGCCCGUGGCUCAAUGGUAGAGCGUCGCCCUUGCAAGGCGGAGGCUUCGGGUUCAAAACAACCAGUUGCGUAAAGCAAUUGUUGUGAACUUCCCGACGGGUCCA